rnacentral:rRNA from 1 species
AGCGAACGCUGGCGGCAGGCCUAACACAUGCAAGUCGAACGAACCUUUCGGGGUUAGUGGCGGACGGGUGAGUAACACGUGGGAACGUGCCUUUAGGUUCGGAAUAACUCAGGGAAACUUGUGCUAAUACCGAAUGUGCCCUUCGGGGGAAAGAUUAAUCGCCUUUAGAGCGGCCCGCGUCUGAUUAGCUAGUUGGUUGAGGUAAUGGCUCACCAAGGCGACGAUCAGUAGCUGGUCUGAGAGGAUGAUCAGCCACAUUGGGACUGAGACACGGCCCAAACUCCUACGGGAGGCAGCAGUGGGGAAUCUUGCGCAAUGGGCGAAAGCCUGACGCAUCCAUGCCGCGUGAAUGAUGAAGGUCUUAGGAUUGUAAAAGUCUUUCACCGGGGACGAUAAUGACGGUACCCGGAGAAGAAGCCCCGGCUAACUUCGUG